AACACGGCUGCGGGUUGUAUCAUUUAAAGCAAAUGAGUAAACAGCCAAGUGACCAUUUGAACCUGGAGUUGAAUGGGGGGCCUUUGACUUGCGCUGGGUGCUGUGCACCCAGGAAGCACACGGGUUCCGGGUGGCCCGAGCUGGGUCCCACAUAGCUUACUAAGCAGCCCGGGCAGGCCUGGCCCACUGCUCCUGUGGUGACGUGCAUGUGAGGCCAUGCGCUGGAUGCUAAGGGUGCAGGAGACUGAGGGACUCUUCCUGGGACAGUGGCGGUGAGGAGGGGCCGCGAGCAGUUGUGGCCCGUGAUCUUAGCUCACUUCUGAGCCCUGUCCCCAUGGGCUGUCCUGAGGAAUUCCCAGCCUUUCAUCCCAAACACAGAAUGCACUGGCAUGUGAUACUUGAGGCUGUCAUUUCUCACCCUGAGACCACUGGGUCGCUGCUUGCUUUGUUUCUUAAGACAGGAUGUGACAGUGUAACUCACAAUUUGAAUUUUUAGAACAGGAGACUGGAUUUUGAAUUUGGGAAUGGAAAGGGUUGCACCUUGGCCAUUAGGGGGCGCUGCAGCCUCACCCAUGAAUAGCACCACCUGGCCGCAGCAGGCACCUUAAGUGGGAUGUGGCUGAAGUGCAGGGUCACACUCUCAGCGCCUGUCACCCAGGGAGACCUGCUUCUGUUCACAUGUUGGGUCGUGAGUGCGUUUUUGAGCCUGGGCCCAUUCUCCUCAGCAGUGAACGGGAAGGAUGCAUGGAAAGGGUAACAGGUGAGAUCUGUGAGAUUGAGAGCACUCCUCCCCCUCGCCAACGGCAAAUGCACAGAUUUUGCCUUUGUGUUCUUUCCUGGAUAUUUUUCAAUGAUCCUAGAGUGUGGAAUGCUUUGACAAAAUGAAUAAGUAAGGUGGCCAGGUGGGUCCGUGGUGGCGCUGGUGGGUGGCAAGGCUCUUGAGUGCUCGCCUGGUUAGCCAGGCCUGUGUGAACAGCGGUGACGUCAGCCCGCCCAUGCUGAGCGUGCCCAGUUCUUCCAGAUAACAUUCCUAAUGUGUCCUCUAGUAUAGAACCGUAUUGUCAGGAAUCUGUAGUGUGCAGAGAGCCCAGAAAUGUACGUCAAGCCAUCCUGCCUCAUAAAGACUGAAGAUGCCACAAAGGAUUUGCUGUGGAAUGUUCUAGAAAUGUGGGGGAAGGGCUUCAAAAGGAAUACACAGACACUAACUUAAACGCCUUCCUCCCUUAUGUCCUUCCAUUUGCCUGGCACUUUCUCAGAGAAAUUCAGUACGUGGUUGUGGAACACAGACUGUUUGUGUUCCUCCCUAGAAAAUUCUGAGGAGGACCUACUUGUACGGUGUGACAUUUCUGUCUCCAUGUGCUGGGGUCAUUUCUGUGAAUUACAGAGCGGUCCCUGCACUGAACCAGUGUGUUGAGCAUGGUUGAAUAGCGCAGACAGUGUUGGCAAAGACAGAGCUGUGAGUGACAUGCCAGCAGGAGUGGCACACUCCCAUUGUAGGAAAGCAACAGUGUCUGCUUCCGUUUUAUGGGGGACUUUGGGGUUUCGUGCAUGACGCUAGGACCAGGGCUCCCUGGCACACAUGCCCCAGCAUGCCCAGCGUGCACACUCAGAGCCUGGCCUCCCCCAGGUGGGCCUCUGACUCCUGCUGGGAAAGCUGGUGCUGCCCAACCUGUCUAGGGGCUCUCUGCCCAGGGAGGGUGCCCUGAAGGGGGGCAUGUGGCAGGCUGAUCCCCAAACCCCAGGUUCUCAGAGGGCAUGGCCUCACCCCACACCCACUGAGUGCUGAAGUGGGGCUGUCUGGGGUUGUGCGUAAUGGUCCUCUGGGCCAGGUGCGCACCCCCAGCAGCGGGGGAGCCCUGAGAGCUGCCUCUGCCCUCCCAGCCACUCUCAGCUGAGCCCCCCUUGUCCCUUCCUCAUGCAUUUUGGGGGACACGGGAGAGGAGGAGGAGGGGAGCCUGUUCCCCUCCUCCCACUGUCUAGAACUGCCGUUCUUUGUUUUAAAUUGUUCGCAUAGUCUUUAAGAGUGUUAAUUUUUUUCUUAACAAAUAGUCAUUAAUUGCUGCUCCGGGAUAAUCUCACCCUAAAUCACAAGUGUACAACUGACGAAAGAGGAGGAAGGCGAGGAGUGGAACGUGUAAACCCUGAGCCCAGCGCGCCUUUCACGUUCAUGGAAGCUGCUCCCCUCGAUGGUCAUGUUUCAUAUGUAAAUAUGUAUUAUAUACCCACUUUUAAUAGUCUACAUUGUGAUCCAGUGUAUUUUUUUAUUUAAUUUUCAUGUUGAUUUUGUACUAUAUGCAUGUUGUAAAUUAAAAAUGAAAGCCCGUCACACGCUGGCCCAUCCGUCUCCCUCCGGCCCCUUUCCUCCGGCCCUGCUUUCUGGACCACCAGCUCCAUGACCGGGCUCCCGGGCUUCCUUCCACAUCCACAGGCAGUGUCCUGAGGCCAACAUCAGGGGCCACAUGCCUUCUCACCCCUGUCUGCCCUGGACCCCAGAGGUCCCUGACAGCUGAGCUGCGGACCCUCCUGCCCAUGGGGAACUGGGUCUUCUGGGGAUGCUGUCCGUUUGGUGGAAGGCACGGGGAUGGGAGGGCAUGGGGUGACCGAGAGAGCUGAAUCCUGCUGAGCCGUUUGAAGUGGGCACCCUCCAAAGCCGGAGGUGCCGGGGAGUCCGGUCCGGAGGGCUGUUGCUUUGCUUCAGCCUCGGGAUUCUGGGCGCGGGAGCUCCCACUGGGACUCUUGCUCCCCGUGAAGGGUGGGCCAGAGCCUGCUGGCCGAAGGGGAGGGCUGGUGAGCAGGGGUGUGUGGGGUUUCUGAGCCCAGCUUUCACCCAGAUGGCUCUUACACCUGAACCCCUAGCUCAGGUGCAUGACUGUUUGAUGAUUGCAUGAUGUCCGAGCCCAACACUAGCUAGAUUCUUAGAAACGACCUUAAUAAAUAGUUAGCAAAUCCCCAAAUGAAGGAAACAUUCUGACUUCUGAGGAAUUCCUAUUUAAGGUGUGUGGCAAUCCUCUAUGAACAAACACCUAGUAAUGUUUUGGGGUUUGGAGUCUAGAGGCAAACGUGUUGUAUGAUAGUUAACCAAGUCAGUGUCUGUUCACACCUGCUUUGUUCCAUGCUGUAUUUAAGCCAUCCCAGUCAUGUGGACUAAUGGAAGGGGACCAGAGGUUAGCGAACCAUUGACAGCAUGGCCGAAACCACACGUGCCAGGCACUCUGCCCUGCCCGGACACCUCUCGCACGUGUCCCCCAGGGGCCCGGGAACCUGCUCCCGCGGGCCGAGGGGAAAGCGCGCCUUGACCUGCCCAUCAGUCAUUAGCAGAGAUAAUCCAGGACUCCUCUUUUAAUCGAAAACAGUCCUGUUUGCAAAUGUUUGGACAACCCAAAUCUGACCUGCAGAUACUUCCUCGACAGGAACACUUGGUAAGUGCUGAGUGUGCUGAUGCAGCCAGAAAGGUGUCCUGACCUAUAGCUCUCUAGUUUUUCAACAAUGUUUCUCCGUUUUGGAAAAAAAUAAGUUUGUGGAGAAAGAGUGUGGAGUCUUUAAAAAAACAAACAAACAAAACAUUUAGCCUACAGGAGUUUCUGGCAUUCCAUGGAGCCCCUGCCAGCCCCCAGAGGAAGGUCUGUGCUGGCAGAGCACGGGGUGCCCCCAUCAAUAAUUCAGAGGUUCUCAUGACUUCCCAUCACCCUGGGGCUAUGGGGGAGAAGAGGAAAGAGACAACCCUCCCAGGGAGAGGACCUGCCAAUUGUAGGGUGUUCACUGAUUCCAGAGCCUCAUGAGUGCAGAAACAUCUAGAAAAGCAGAGUUUGGUCCUUCAUGGUGGUAGCAAGUAAGUGCUCAAGAGUCCUGUCUCUUCUGGAAAAAUCCAAGGAGAGACCAACUAAGAAAACCAAACGGGACCCUGGCCCCCACCUUCGAAUGCAAAAGAAGUGCUUUAUCAAAUGGGAGGUGUCCCUUUGCAGGUCAGUCUCCAGCCUGAGACCCCAGGGACAGUCCCUGGGGAGCUCCCUUGGGAUGGAAGAAAGGGUGUGACUCAGUCCUAGGGGGUGUGCAGACAACCUCCCCUCUGCGUCUACCCCCCAGGGUCAGGCUUUGUUUGCAGAUUGGAAAUCUGUUACCUUGGUGCUGGAGGGGAAAACAGCUUUGAAAGCGCUCACUCCUGACCUUUCCAAAUUUGUGUUUUUAAGGAGACAGAAACGAGGCUCCUAACACGUUGGCGAUCAUCCACUAACAUUUUCAUGGGUCUUCCUGUUCAUAAAGCCUGUUAGUCUAGUGAUGAGGAAAUUAGUUUUCUGGAUUCUGAUGCAAUUUUGAAUUCUAUAACUUUAAUUUCUAAAUAGAAAUACUGACAUUGGAAAAAACAAAGAAAAAUACAACUCGAACUGUCAGUUCACAUGGCUUUAUUUCUGGCUUUCUUUGGCUGCCCCCCCCCCAUUUUCUCAGUACGUUUAAGAAAAGGGAGAGGUUAUGGUGCAGGGUUUGUUUUUACAUCUGGCCCUUUACCUGGCAAUUCCUUUUCACUCAAAUUCCACAACGUGGCCAAGUGGGGAGACAGGAGAAGGAGAAGAAACAUCUUACAAUAAGACCCUCGUGCCCAGGAUUUAGAAACAGUCUGGUGCAGGCGGCCUCUGUGGGUAGGGCGGUGCCCGGCCUGCCCGGGAGGGGGCGCGCUGCACCUGGUCAGCUGCCUGCAGGACCCUCACGCCAGCCCGGCCGCGGGAUCCCAGGUUCAGGAGAGCACAGGCACAAAAGGACCUCGCACGGAUUGCGGGUGAACCCAGAAGUACUCCUGGGGUGUCUUCCGGGGGCGACCUACCGCGGAAGCACAGAGGCGCAGGCUGGUGGUGGCGGGGCUCCUGAAGGGCAGGGAAAGGGACCUCAGGCAAGGGGCUUCGGAGACCACGCCCCUCCCGUUAACCCAAUCCCAAGGCGGCUUCCUUGGAACGCCUGGGCUGGAAGCAGGGCCAGGCAUGCGUGCUGUCUCUCAGGCGGAGGUGGAGUAGGCAAUGUCUGCAUUCUUUGGUGACUUCCUGAGGCUCCUGGCAUCCCCGGGACUGGUCUGUCUUGGUGUAGCCAUGACUGAUGCACACCGUAAGUCCCAUCUUUCUAAGAGUCACCCAAGAGAUUUCGGUGGGCCUUAAAGCUCUGUUCUAUAGAAAACACAGCACCCCUGAAAAAUGCCCAUUCAGAUCUUGAGAAUUUGCGCCCAGGAGACGUUGCUUUUCAUUAGUGCAGCCCACUAACGCUCUGAUCCCGUUCUGCCAGGAUCCUGGUGGAUUGGUAAUGGGCAGCUAGUAAUUUUUCGCCAUUGGGAUGGAAUUAUUUUGAUUGCUUUCUUUUUGCCUUUAUUGUUUUCGUGUUAAUUCUGUUGGGGUUUUUUUUGGGGGGGGUGGGAGAUUUGCUUUAAAUGUUCCAGUUUAAACCCAAAUAUCACAAUAUUCUUUGCUAACUAUUGAAGUAAUUAAGAGCCACUAAUUUCAUUUGAUUAAAUUUUUAAAAUUUUUCCUUGGUAGAGAGUUUUUCAAGGCAAACUACUUUUAUUAAAACAGGAAUAUUGUAUGUCUCUGUCUUCCUUAGAGGCUGCUUGAAACUCAGCUAACGGCCAUCCCUGUGGCUGCUGCCAGAGCUGAGGGGCAGGCAGGCUUGGGCAUCUGAGCAUCAGUGACGACGUGGGCUGGUAAAGGGCACUAGGCAGAAUUACAGGAACUUGCUGCUGGUUCAUGAAGUGUCGGCGGCCAUGGAUAAGGUGUUUCCUGCGUCCCACAUCCUGGGCUUCACCAGUGUCAGGAAGGCCUUAAUCAAGAGCUCAGGAUCAGAGCUGGAGAGAAAGCUGGAGAAUGUCCCCUGACAUUCAUGGCACAUCCUCCAAGUCCAAGACAACCACCUACAAGGAGGGGAGAAGCAGAGCAUGAGAACUAUGCCCACGAAGGAAACCAAUGCUUCCCCAGCAGAGAAUGCCCUCUACCUGAGAAGAAAGCUCCUUGGAAAAUACCAGGAAUCUCUUCAAAGAGCUCUGGAGUGAGAGAGAGACCUUUCUAUUCCAUUAGGAGUGCCCAUGGAAACCAGAGAGUUCUCCAGAAAAUGAUGUCGAAGGUUGUCCUCAGACCCCCUGAGACCUUACAAGAUCUUUUAUUCUUCACAGGCCUGUGUUAGGUUCACUGGAAGGACUACAGGGAGUAGAGCCCAUAGGGGCCCCUGAUAAUUACAACAGAGAAGUGGGUGAGAGCUGCAGGACCCUGGUGGGCUCUUGGGCAGAGCACAGAAUCCCCACUGAGUCUGGAGUACGGUAGGGCUCUGGCCUGGUGGUCUAAGGGCCCAGGUGUGGCUGGCAUCUUGGGGCCCAAGUGUCGUGGGAGUCUGAGGGCCCAGCUGGGGGCUCAGGUACACAGGAGAGCAUAAAUUUGAAAGCACAUUCUUUGGUGCUGGUAUGAUUUCUGCCCUCUUCACUGGCUGCCCACAUGUAGGCAAGCAGUUGGACCUAUCCAGGACCAGAGUUAUGAAAAGUGGAGACAUUAAUAAUUUUUUGUCAAAUCAUGCUAAUGACAUGGGAUAAUACACGGGAAAUUACUAUGCGUACCAUAUGUCAGUAUGCAAAUAUAAGUGAUCAUUGGUGAGGGAUUAUCCACAGACACCUGAUAUGUAAAUAGAGCUUGCAUUAUAAACUAGGAUAUUUAAUUUAUCCAUUUCCUGGAUACACAGGAAACAAACUUUUGAUGAUUCUGUAUACGUGAGAUGUUUGUGCCAAGCACGUGAAUGUGAUCUGGGGGAAGAUGCAUUUCUUUCUGCAAGUCCAGGAGCAUCGAGGGCCCUGGAUUACAUGGCUACUGCACGCCAGCACAGAGCAGAGCCUGAACGAAGCGAAUUAUUCUAUCUGUUGUUCUCCUCCUGUUGACAAGGCUUAAUUAGUGGUUUAUUUCAUAUUGUUCUUGGAAAACUGGGUAGCUGAUGACAUCAGUUGCAAUGGUGUGAUGCAUUUUAAACAGAUAUUUAUUUACAUAAUGUGCUAUUGCCAAAACCCAGCUCACACAGACCAGAUGUUUUUAUCGCAAACCCUUGGUAUCCGGGGAAAAAAUAAGACAGCGCAGCACGAGGGCCGUUAAACAGUGGGAUUUCAAGGAACACACUCUUUUAAAAUGCCAUUUUGAAUAUUCUCAUAAAUUUCUUAUUCUAGGAGCUACAUUUACCUGAAAGAAGACGAGCUGUUAGUUGGAAAACAAUGGUCAGGGCAUUUGAGUCAAAAUUUUGGUCAUAUUCACUCCCAUUCCAAAUUAUUUUUUGUAAUUAUUUUCCUAAAGCUGUUUAUCUAAACCUUGUGUCCUAAUGUCCCUCCGAGGAAACGAUGGGAUGAAAAACAGGGUGGGAAUUCUAUCCUAGUGAUACCAUGGGUCAGCAUUUCUUACCCCCUCUUAAUGACUCCUGUCUUGUGUCUCCAAUACCUGGUUUGCUCUGCAGACACACGGAUCCUGAAAACCCCGCUGACACUGAGUCUCGCCUAGCAUGCUCCAGUACUCAGCCCCCAGUGGCUUUCAUGGAGCCUCAGAAUCCUGCUUGACACGGUGAUGCACCCAGCUGCCUGGAGCUCUCUGUUUUUGUCUCUCUCCCUUCCUGUGCACAGAGUCUAGCCACGCCUCUGAGUAUCGUCCUGCUGCAUUGCUCCCUUCGCCUUCUCUCACUCCCGCAGGUUUGACAGGUAUGGUUUCUUUUUUCACUUCUAAAUCAUACUUUAUCUGGUUUUCAGCCCACACUGGAAUGUGCCUAUUGUUCUAGCUGCUUUUGUUGUUAUCCCACAUCUACAUGUGUUUGGGAGAUAAAUUAAUCCGUGCAUGUGAUGCUUCAAAUUAAUAUUUUUCUUAAUUUUAAAACUUAAUUUAGCUGGAGAGGGUACAGUCAUACAGACAUGCUCAUAGAUUAUUGGUGUCCCUCUAAAUUGUUAUAACUCCUUGAAAAUAAACCUGACAGUACACCUCCAGAGCCUUAAGUCAUUAAUCCUUCUUAACCUAGUCACUGAACUUCUGAAAAAUCUGUCUUAUAAAACCAGUCCCAAACUCAAGCACAAAAUCACACGCAAAGCUAGUCAUGAUAGCACCACCCCUAAGCACAUCCAAUGGAAAAGAAUCUAAACAUAAUAUUAGGAUGGUUUUAAAAAUGGAAAUAAGGGCAUCUGAGUGGUUCAGUCCGUUAAGCAUCUGACUCUUGGUUUCAGCUCAGGUCGUGGUCUCAGGGCUGUGAGAAGCACCCCGAGUCAGGUGCCGUGCUCAGUACAGAGUCUGCUUGAGAUUCCCUCUCUGCCCCUCCCCCCACUCUCACACGCUCUCUCUCUCCCUCUUUUAAAUAAAUAAAUAAAUAAGUUAGGAAAAAAUCUUUAAAAAUGGAAGUAACUACACCGAAAUAUGACAAUGAGAAAAAUAGUGCAAGCUGGGUGAGUGGUAAGAUGGAAAAAUUUCAUAAGGACUGACAGAGGCCAUGAGCUCAGAAUAGAACAGGAUGGUGAUAUGGACACCGGACACGUUGAAGUGACAUGGCCAAAAUCAUGGUAGGUGUCCUAGCUGCUGAGUGCUGCAUAACAAACGAGCCCAAGCUUAGUGGCGUAAAGCAGCCGCCAUUUGUCAUGUUCCCAUUCUACGGGUCUGGAAGUUGUUCAGAGUACAGAAGGCCUGGGGUCUCAUCUGGAAAGACUCCAAUGGCUGGGGUGACCGGAGCUUGGAAUGGGAAGCAUCUGGCAGCUUCCUCACUGAGACAUCUGGUGCCUGGGCUGGGGUGGCUUGAAGGCUGGGCUCUGCCAGGACGGUGAGCAGAGUCCCUGCACACUGGCUUUCCACAAGGCUUGGGCUUCUCACUGCAUGGGGCCAGGCUCUGAGAAGGAGCAUUCCAAGAAGGAGUGUUCCACGAGGCCACAUCGAGGCUGCAUGACUUACAUGACCUUCCUGUAAAAGUCAGGCGGUGUCGCUUCCACCACAUUGAUGGCCUGAAGCAGUCACAAGGCUGCCUGACUUCUGGGGGAGGUCGGAGGGGAGAUGACAACACAGAGAUGCCACUGUUGAGACUUGUUCAUGGAUCAGAAAUGUUAGACGUUAGUAAUGCAACUGUAAGGUCUCUUUCCGUGCGUCCGGUACAAAGGUGUUCAUCCUUAAGAGAAGAGCUCGCAACACAAAGGAGCUUUAGUGCCAAAACACUUGAUGCAAGGGGUUCUCAUAUCUUGUUUCCAGGAGAGCUAUAAAGUCAAGUGGGUAAUAACAGUCCACGCUGAAUAGUCUAAAGAUAUUUCUAUUUAAGGAGGAAGGAAUUACAUCAAAUUCUUGGUUUCUAUGAUUCAUUCGUAGAGGACAUUUUCCCUUUUAUUAACCUGUGACGAUCUGUAAGCAGAAAUUAAAACCCAUGCCACGAGUCCUGAGAUAUAACAAGCACGGAGGCUUGUUAUAUACAAUCUUACAAAGCUUCCUGGGUAUAGAUGUGAAUGCAUUAGCAGCCUGGUUUGUUCAUAUCCAUCUAAGGAUUCCAGGGGGGGAAAAUAGGAGCAGACUCAAUCCACAGAAUUGAAAGAAAUACUUCUCUCUCUCUCUCUUUCCUUCUUGAAUUUGAAAGUAAAUUUUAAAUAUUUAUAAAAAUGAAAAUCCUGCUCAUUUAGUCAUCAUUCUGAAAGCUUAUUUCCAAUUCUCCUGAUUCGGUGACCUCUCGAUAUUUUCUGUGUGUCUCUCCAAUAUCAUGUAACAUAUCUUGAAUUAUAGUUAUUUGUACAUUUAUGUAACCCAUAUUAGAUUAUAUUCUAGUAUAUUCUAUGCAUAGAGUAUAUUCUAUGCAUUUUGC